rnacentral:rRNA from 1 species
GACGAACGCUGGCGGCGUGCCUAACACAUGCAAGUCGCACGGGGUAGCAAUACCCAGUGGCGAACGGGUGCGUAACACGUGAGGAACAUACCUAUCGGCGGGGGAUAGCCGGCCCAACGGCCGGGUAAUACCGCGUACGCUCUCCGGGGGGCAUCUCCUGGGGAGGAAAGCAGCAAUGCACCGAUAGAGUGCCUCGCGGCCCAUCAGCUAGUUGGUGAGGUAAUGGCUCACCAAGGCGACGACGGGUAGCUGGUCUGAGAGGAUGAUCAGCCACAUUGGGACUGAGACACGGCCCAGACUCCUACGGGAGGCAGCAGUGGGGAAUCUUGCGCAAUGGGCGAAAGCCUGACGCAGCGACGCCGCGUGUGGGAUGAAGGCCUUCGGGUCGUAAACCACUGUCGCGAGGGACGAAUACAUUGACGGUACCUCGAAAGGAAGCACCGGCUAACUCUGUGCCAGCAGCCGCGGUAAUACAGAGGGUGCGAGCGUU